UUGUUGCGUAUACAGGUUUUAAAUAUCUUAGUAAUGGAGACCUAUCUAGUAAUUUUGCUACUAUCUGUAGUUGUUUCGCUUAGUGCAUUAUAUGGAUACACCGUAGAACAAAAAAUUAAAGACAAAAUUAAAGAAGAGAUUAAAGAAGAAAUUAAAGAAGAGAUUAAAGAAGAAAUUAAAGACGAAUUUGUAAAAAUUGUAAGUGCAGAAAUUGAACACCAAUCUGAAAUGAAGAAAAUUAAAGAAUUACUUAACGAAACGUAUACCCGUUACGAUAACGCAUUACAAGAUUUUAAAAAAGAAAUUACGUCUAAAGAAAAAACUACGACUGCGGCGGGAAAUAAACUUAACACGUAUUUAUCUGGAGUCUGAAGGUAUUCCGUUCCAUUAAAGGUGCUUUAAGGAGCUGUAAUAUUGGUUGGAUACGUGAAAAUAACUCAUGUUACCACUUUAGUCGAUUUGCUACAAACUUUUACACGGCACUGAGUUUUUGCAAAACUAUUGGUGGAAAGUUGAUUGAGAUUGACGACCAAUCCGAAUGGGAUAUGAUAAAAAGAUAUGCUAAGAAUCGAAGUUUUCUCGACUUUUUUAUUGGUGUGACCGACUUAUUCAGCGAAGGUGAAUUGCAAAAAGCAACAACGUUGGAGAGACAAAAUUACUUAAUUUGGGGUAAUCGUUUCUGUGUGUGUUACAUUUUAAUGUUGUGUUUUUGUUGUGUCGUUGUUCUCCUCUUAUAUUUGAUGCGUUUCCCUCAGUUUUAGUUUGUAACCCGGAUUUGUUUUUAUCUCUAUCGAUUUAUGUGUUUCGAACAGCGGUAUACUACUGUUGCCUUUAUUUAUAGUCUUUCAGAUAUCUCUACAUUAUACCUAUCGUGAAAAUGGCCAUGUCGACAUAUUGCCAUUUUGCAAAAUAAAUGAUUUAGAAACUGCAGCAAAACAAAAAAAUGCUAAGAGUUUGUCGUAUAUGUAUAUUGCUUUUAUUAUAUUAGGAACAUCAUCGUGUGCGGUCAAUGCAACCCUAAUAUGGAUCAUACUUCGA